GAUGUACGCUAGCUACAGGCUUAACACAUGCAAGUCGAGGGGUAACGAGAGGAAAGCUUGCUUUCCUUGUCGACGACCGGCGCACGGGUGAGUAACGCGUAUCCAACCUGCCCCCAACUAGGGAAUAACCUUGCGAAAGUAAGACUAAUACCCUAUAAUUUCCUCAGAUGUCAUCUGACGAGGAAUAAAGAUUUAUCGGUUGUGGAUGGGGAUGCGUCUGAUUAGCUUGUUGGCGGGGUAACGGCCUACCAAGGCAACGAUCAGUAGGGGUUCUGAGAGGAAGGUCCCCCACAUUGGAACUGAGACACGGUCCAAACUCCGACGGGAGGCAGCAGUGAGGAAUAUUGGUCAAUGGGCGUAAGCCUGAACCAGCCAAGUAGCGUGCAGGAUGACGGCCCUAUGGGUUGUAAACUGCUUUUAUACAGGAAUAAAGUUAGCCACGUGUGGUUAUUUGUAGGUACUGUAUGAAUAAGGACCGGCUAAUUCCGUGCCAGCAGCCGCCGUAA
rnacentral:rRNA from 1 species